rnacentral:lncRNA from 1 species
CCGUUGUCUCCAGCAGACCUGCGCAGCGCCGCAGCACCGCCCAAGCAACCCAGCACGACGCCAGCACCUUGUACCACCCGUGCGACGAACGAGAGAUCCCCUUGACCCGUCACUGCGUCACCGCCGCCCCUCGUGCCCUUGCUAGAGUCUGUUCCCGGCGUUCUUAUCCUCUCCACCAGGGAACCGACGGCCCCAGCUAUUUAAGGAGCCCCUGACUGUUGAAGCUCGACGAAAAGCAUCCCCUUGAAGCCAUAGCCAACUCCCCAAGCCCCAAUUUAAUCCGUAGUUCUCUUCUUCCCUGGUUCCGGUGAGAUCCAUCGCUGCAGCCACCGCGGAGAGAUUCAAGCUUGCCAGAGUCACUCUGCCCCACCCGAGCCCGCCAUUGAUUCCCCCUGGACCUCCUGAAGCUUUUCCCUAGCUCAGCCCUGCCCUAGAACUCUUCCUAGCUAGUGCCCCGCUAGAGCCGAAGCUUCCCUCCGCCGUGGAGGAAGGGACGCUCAACUCCGACCACGCCCGCAGCCCCAAGGCACGGGAAUAGAUCGCGCCUCAUCACCUUGAGCACGCCGGUGCCCUUGGUUUCCCUGAUCGGAGGUCUCCACCGCCGGCGAGCCUCGCCGGAGCCCCUCCUUCCUUCGGCCAGAGGUGGAAGAAGGAGACCGGGUCAAACCUGCCAGCGGGCCCCGCUCGUCAGCGUCCCACCCCUUCGGCCUGAGCCCGCGCAAGUGGAAAAGCGCACUACGCCAAGUACGUUUUCCCUCCUGCGCUAGCGUCUUUUGACCGAAAACGUUUUCCUUCAUUUCUGUUUUUAAAACAUAUUCUGUUCAAAUUUUGUUUUGGCCACAACUUUUUAUAGGAAGCUCCAAAUGAGUUGAUUCUUUUUCUCACCCCUUUAAAAUGCUGUCUAUUUUAUUUUAGUAUUUAUUUAAAAAAAUCUAUGACAACUUUGUGUGCUGUUUUUGUAUUGUGUGUUAAUUAGCAUAUAUUCUUGGACUCCACCUAUCUACACUUGGAAGGAUUAAAACUUGCAAAAGUUUUGUGAUGAACUCCACCUAUCUACACUUGGAAGGCAAGCAUCUUGAACCCACUUUUUUUUCUUGGACAUAUAUGUUUGCCUGUUGAUAGUGACAUGGGAUUAUGUUACUCUUAUGGUGUUAUUUCAUGUGGCAAAUCAUGCAUGUGGAUACAUGAUUUCGAGGAUAAAAGUUUCUUUGAAUUUGGUGCAUGGAUAGUGGUCACCCCUUCCUGCCCUACAUGCCUACCGAAUGAGGUUUGGUGAGAGUCGUGGUCCUAUGGAGACACGACCAUGGAUUGACAUCUCGUUGAUGAGGUCAAUAAGGCAUGUUGGGUGGGCAGUGACUCUAUCUAUACCCGGGUUGUACUAAUCAUGCAGGUAACGUUUAAACCUCCUAAGUCGACCAUAGAUCGAGUCUUGUGAGUAUGUCUCCUUACUUGCGUGCUACCAUAGCUUCCUGGAUAAUGGAUCAGGUACACUCAGUUGUGGACCUAUUAUUAAUCACACACCAUUAGAGGGGCCGGGAUGAAGUUAUCCACGACCGUGGUAUAAAUCCAGUCAUACGAUGAGGGCGCAUGGGUGUUUCCCGUCUGGGACCGGAAGGGAGGGCACUCCCAUGAGCGUGCGAUAUAAAUAUUGUGAUCCCAUGCUAGUCGAGGUCGGAGCCUCCCCGUCUUAUGGUUUUACCUUGGUAGCGUAGUCCGGGUGAGACCGGGCUUCGUGGAGGUAAAGUUGGUGUGUGUUGAUUCUGAGUGUCCACUUAUAAAAUACCGUACACGGGAUUAGUCAUGAUGUCUAUUGAAAACAGUGAACUAUGGGUAAAUAGUACAUCCUCUACAGAGUCAAAACUAUUCGAGUAGCCGUGUCCACGGUCAAGGACGUUGGUUGACUGGCCAAGUGUCGGUCUUUGGAGGUGGUUAGAGGAAAGUGACACAAAUCCGGUGAUAUGGUUGACGAUUAUAAUUAUUAUAUUCUCAAGACUAACCAUUAUGAUUUUAUUGUCGGAUAUCCUUGGGACGGUUCUACCUCCUGGAUAUUCUUUAUUAUCAUUUCUUAUAAGCCCUUUAUGUGGUGUCGCUCAGACGCCCGACUGUGGCAUUGUUAUAUCAUUUCUUAUAAGCCCUUUAUGUGGUGUCGCUCAUACGCCCGACUGUGGCAUUGGUUUAUCAUUUCUUAUAAGCCCUUUAUGUGGUGUCGCUCAGAUGCCCGACUAUGGCUUUGUUUUAUCAUUUCUUAUAAGCCCUUUAUGUGGUGUCGCUCAGACGCGCGACUGUGGCAUACUUUAUAAUGCAUAUGUUAUUAUUAUCUCUUAGGAUGGCCUAACAAAUUCAAUAUGAUUAUUACUUUACUACUAAUGCUAGAAUAGUGUUUUGAGUUGUUGUAGUAUUCUGGUAUUAUUAUGUGUGUUGAUUAACCUGUCAAGUCCUAUGUUUGUUUUCUUGAUGUUUGCGAGUACAUUCAAAGUACUCACUGGCUUGUCCCUGGCUAUUGUCUUGGCCAGGUAGCGUGCUUGGGAAGGUUGAGCAUGUCGAUGAACCCCGGGCAUAGACAUUAAAGGCAGCUUCCGUGCAAGAUAGGAGUUAACCCGGUCAGCUGUUCCUGUGGGAAAUGUAGUCCCAGAGGAGUUGGAGAUCCCUGUAGCGCUUCCGCUAUCAACAACUAGAAACCCUUUUGAUGUACUCAUCAGACCACCUUGGUCUUGUACUUCAAUUUGUAUUUUUCUUGGAUAUUUGUAUCAAGGAAAGGUGUGCCAGCUAACAGUAUUCCUUGGGCUGGUAUGCUUGAGGGCCAUUUGAAAGGGAAAUGUAAAAUCCCCGAAAAUCCGGUCCCCACAUACACCCCCACUAGGUCCAUUGGAGCAAAGUUGUCAGAAUCGCGACUCAAGUCUUAGAAUCUUACGACUUUACGAUCCAAACUAGCCCCUCUGAUUCUACGAUUUUGCUCAUAGAAUCUAAGAUUCUACGAUCCUGGUAGUUAUGAUUCUACGAUUCACGAUCCUACCAACAGAGCUCCGAUCCGAUUCAGAAUCGCGAUUCUGACAACCUUGCAUUGGAGAGCUUACCUUAGCUCAUAUGUGCAUCCAUUGCAUGGCAAUCCCUACUCCUCACAUCAUAUCUAUCAUUUGGCUUUCUCUCGCCUAUGGUUGUCCUCAUUGAUGUGAGCCUUUCACACCUUUUUGUCU